rnacentral:rRNA from 1 species
UACGUAGGGUGCGAGCGUUGUCCGGAAUCAUUGGGCGUAAAGCGCGUGUAGGCGGCCCGGUAAGUCCGCUGUGAAAGUCCAGGGCUCAACCCUGGGAUGCCGGUGGAUACUGUCGGGCUCGAGUCCGGAAGAGGAGUGUGGAAUUCCUGGUGUAGCGGUGAAAUGCGCAGAUAUCAGGAGGAACACCAAUGGCGAAGGCAGCACUCUGGGACGUGACUGACGCUGAGACGCGAAAGCGUGGGGAGCAAACAGG